AAAAAGUUUUAUUCUUGCUAAAUAAUUAUCUCACGAUUAAUCUAUAUACAAAUUCUUGUCAUAAUUUUGAUUUUAAUAAUUAAUUGUUUCAGUGUAGUAGAAAAUAUUAUUCUUUAAAGAAAUUUAGAUAUAGUAUUUCGUGUUAUUCCCGGUUAAAGUCGUGCCAGCCACCGCGGUUAUACGUAGGGGGAAUAUAAUUAUUUUUGGUUUAUAGUCAAAUUUUAAUUUUCUUUAUAUUUAAUGUUUUUAGGUGAAAUUUUAACUUUAAGUGUUUUGAUUCGGGUUUGAAUCUAUGAAACUUAUUAUUUAAACAAGGAUUAGAUACCCUUUUAUCAUAAGUGUAAAUUAAUAAUCAGGGUAGUAAUAGUUAUGUUCUUGAAACUCAAAGAAUUUGGCGGUAUUUUAUUCUUUUUAGAGGAACCUGUCCUGUGAUCGACACUCCACGAUGAUGAGUUACUCCCCUUUGUUAUUCAGUUUGUAUACCUCCGUCAUAAGAGUAUCUUUUUAGAGUAAAUACUCAUAUUAUAGAAAAUAUUUGAUGUCAGGUCAAGGUGCAAUUGAUAGGUUAGAAGAGAUGGGUUACAAUGGAAUUAUUCAUAUGAAUUAAAAUAAUUAUUUAUUUUAUGAAGGUGGAUUUAAAAGUAAAAUUAAGGUCUAAUUAGUUUGAUUUUAGCUCUAGAAUAUGCACACAUCGCCCGUCGCUCUUAUUAUAAAAUAAGAUAAGUCGUAACAUAGUAGAUGUAUUGGAAAAUGUAUCUAGAUAGUAUC
rnacentral:ncRNA from 1 species